GAUGAAGAACGUAGCGAAAUGCGAUACUUGGUGUGAAUUGCAGAAUCCCGUGAACCAUCGAGUCUUUGAACGCAAGUUGCGCCCGAAGCCAUCAGGUUGAGGGCACGUCUGCCUGGGCGUCACAUAUCGUUGCUCGAUGCCUAUCGCAUUGCGAUAGGACUUAGGGCGAAUGAUGGCUUCCCGUGAGCGUUGUUGCCUCGCGGUUGGUUGAAAAUCGAGUCCUUGGUAGGGUGUGCCAUGAUGGAUGGUGGUUGAGUGAUGAUGCUCGAGACCAAUCAUGGGUAACUCCACCAGAAUUGGGCUCGGUGACCCACAUGCGUCCCUUGGAUGCUCCCUAAGGAGACCUCAGGUCAGGCGGGGCUACCCGCUGAGUUUAAGCAUAUCAAUAAGCGGAAGA
rnacentral:misc_RNA from 1 species